CAAUAAACCAAAUCCCAUAGCCCAAAUACCACCAGCCCAAUACUCAACUAGCCCAACAUAAAAAAAAAAGAGAAACAGACAACAAGAAACCUUGGCUACCACACCCCACUUUCCUCUGACACUAGCACCAUCUUUGGUCACCACCAUGUCGGCUACCACGCCCCAUGCUUCUGCCAACACCAUCCCCGCAUGUCUGGCACCUCCAUACCUUGCAAGCAGCAAUGAAGAGAUAGAAACUAAUAGAAAAUGAAAGUGUAAAGGUUAUAAAAGCCAUGAAAACAAGUGUAAAAAAGGGGAGGAAGCAAAAAAAAUUUUCCAGCAAAAAAAUUUCAGCAGCAAAAAAUUUUCCAGCAAAAAAUUCCAGCAGCAAAAAAUUUCCAGCAAAAAAAUUCCAACCAAAAAAAAUUCCAGCAAAGAAAAUUCCAAAAAAAAUUUCCAGCAAAAAAAAAACCAAAAAAGGAACAUUCAGCAAUCUAAGCAAGAAAAAACUUCAAUAUCCAGCAAGCAACCAAGGACUAACCACCAUUAACACCACAACCAAGCUCCCAAACCGAAACCCACUCUAAAUACCCGAGCCAAUCGAUUAUAAGCCACCCCAAAACCCAAAUCUCAACUACCCGUAGCUUGAUUUCACACGGCGCAUACGAUGGCUGUUGGUGGCGCGCACGGUGGAAGGAAAAAGAGGGGUUCAGCGGCUUGAAGCUUGGAUCUCUUCUUUCUUUCUUUGUUUGCUGCUGGAGAUUUGUUUGUUUUAGGGGGGUUUAGUAUUAAAAAAAGAAAGAAAUAUUUUAGUUAAUGGGUUGGUUUAUGUAAGGUUUGAUGGGUUAAAUUUAGUUUGGGUUAAUUAAUGGGUUGGGUGAUAUGUUAAGUUAGUGGGUUGGGUUGGUUGUGUUGGGUUUAUUAAGUUAGUGAGUUGGGUUGGUUUGUAUUAUUAUUAUUAUUUUUAAAUUAGUGAGUUGGGUUUAGUUUGGUUUGAAAAAAAAAUAAUAAAAUAAAUAAAUAAAUUUUUAAAUAGUCGGGUCAACCCGACUCUAUUUGCGACAAUCUAAUCUAGUGACGAUCACCAACAAAGGCCCAUUUCAGCAACCCGAGGAGAAAAGAGAUUAAUUUCAGUAACCCAUAAUAUUGGACUUCGGUAUAUUCUUACCCUUUUUAUUAUUUACUCAUUCCGAAUUUAAUAUAUAUUUUAGAUCACAUUAUUACAAAAUUAUUAUUAGUUUUCUUUUUAGAAAUAUUUUUUUCUUCUAAUUAAUUUCAAUAAAUAAGGCAACGUAUCGAUUUAACAUAAGGUCGUUGAUUUCAUCGCUAUGUUGGGUGAAUAUCAUUGGCUCGUGUUAAAAAUGGGACGUCCUUUUUGAAAAAUCGAAAAAUUUAAAAAUUCUUGUGUUUUGAAAUAGGAUAUUUAUUUUUGUGAUUAUUGGUAAGUGAUCAAAUCUUAUUUUUAAAAUGCAGAUGAGGAUAGGUAAUUUGUCAAAAUUCUAGUGUUGUAAACUUUUCGUGUUUCCAAAAUUUUUCGUGUUUCUCUAAAAAAAAAUUUCAGGUUUCAAAAAUUUUCGUGUUUUAAAAUUUCUCAUUUUUCAAUUGGAUCAUGAUUAAAUAUUAAAUUGAAUUCGUUCUUUGAAAUUAAAGACAACGCGUGUUUAACAAGAUACCAAUUUUGGGCGUCGCGAGGGUGCUAAUACCUUCCUCGUACGUAACCGACUCCCGAACGCUAUUUUUCUCUGGAUUUUUGCGUAGACCCAAAUUCGGCCUUCAUUUUUGUUCAAAUAAAUUUUCUUUUCAAAAAAGAUGAUUUAUUAGGUGUCCGAUCACACCUAAAAAAAGAUCGGUGGCGACUCCCCUUUUUAAAAAAACGAAAGUUGGUUUUUUAAAUUUCCAAUAAAUUACCUCAAUUAGCGACCGAAAGCUAAAAAAUUUUUUUUACGUCGCUACAGCUGGCGACUCCAUUGGGGAUCCUAACCUUUUUUUUGAGAGUCGAGACGAAUUAAGCGUGCAUUGUUGAAAUUUUCAAAAUUCCUCGUUCAAGUAAAUAUUUGGUCGUGAUCCGAAAAUCUCGUUUUUGAAAAAUCAUGCACUUGCAUCUGUUGUAAAUAUUUUGCUAACUUAUUUUAUCCUUUUGUUUUUAAGCUCUAGAUUCUUACGACUCUGGUUUAAUUUUAAAUAAAACGAAAGGUUUGUGAGUUUCUCCCCACACACCGUGCACGUAUAUUUUUGCAUAACAUGAGCUCUAUACCCGGGCUCCGUCCGUUUAAGUGAAAGUAAACGAUAUGCCUUCGUGAGUUAACUCGUCCCUCCGCAUAGGCUAGUGAAUACUUUCAGGUUACAUAUGACUUAUGCUUUCGUGAGUUAACUUGUCCCUCCGCAUAAGAAUAAGUAAAUGUAAUCCCUCGAAUUGGACUCGAAAGCCUAUGAUGGGCAAUGACUGAGGCUAUAUACUAAUCAUAGUAGAUGACAGUAUGGACAAUUCGAGUACCUAUCUAGAGCCAAAACCGCAUAUAGUGAACUGUACGAGCCACCUAACUAGAGCCAUGCCUAACCUUUGUCCGUUUACUAGUCACCGAAAUAAGUACACGGGAAAAACACAUCUUACCUUCUGUUUCUUUUACAUUUACGCUUUCUAUGCAAGGGAAUCGAGUCCAUUGGACCAAGGAGCUUAAUUUGUUAGAUUUUCCACAGUUUUUCUCUGUUCAUAUGUGUUAUGCUAACCAAGGUUGUUUGUCUGUAUUUCUAUUUUUCAUCAUGCAUCAAAGGCAUCUUGUUAGGAAGGUGUUGAUUAGAGAUUGGUUGCCAAAAAUGGGUUUCUGAUGGAGGAGUCAAUUAUACGAAUGACCGAAAUGUUGUGUACUAGACUCUUUUGAUUAAGGAAAUGCCUAAAUAGGGGCUAUCUUGAAAUUAACACCAAAUUUUUGCAUAUUCAUGACUGACAUUCAUCUGCCAUUUAUUCAUUCAUCCAUUCAUUGUAUGUACAUGUCCCUUAAUCAUUCACUGAGGCUGAAACCGAAUGAUCUACAAUUGUAACGCUACGAGUCUAGAAUCACGCCAUUCGUAUAAGACGCGGCUAAGAGCUAGAACUAUUGAGGCCGAAUUCAAUGAGAGAAUUGAAAGAAUGGAAAAGGCCCAAAGAGAAUUGCAAGAACAGUUGGCUAAAUCACAGCAGGAAACGAGAGAUCUGAUGGUAAGGUCUCGAGAGGAAUCACUCAAGCAAAGGGAUCAAAUGGCCAAAAUGAUGGAGAUGAUGUCAGCUUUUGUUAAAGGGAAUGGACUUAUGCAGAGUCCUGACGUUAUAGAACCUCAGUCAAUAGUUAAUCAUGAUCAGGAUCCAUUUUAUCCCCCAAGAUUCACCCCGCCUCACGUUCAUGUAACGCAAAGAGGAUGUCCUCAAAAGGAGCCUGUAGGCUUGGAGCAACGACCUGUACCACCUACUCAUUUAGGGCAAGGUAUAUCUGUAUCAAACCCCGGAGGUAAUCCCGUUGAUCUUAAUAUUCCAGAUCGGGAUGACCCAGUAGAGAUAGCCAAGUUGAAAUUAGACGAUCAUGAUGUUUGGGGCAAGUAUAGGAGUUUUGAAGAAAGGCUCAAGGCAAUCGAAGGCGUUGAAGUCUUCUUUGCAUUAAGUGCCAAGGAGCUCAGUCUGGUGCCUGAUCUGGUUCUGCCUCCGAAGUUUAAAGCAUCAGAUUUUGAAAAAUACGACGGAACGAGAUGUCCUAGAAUGCAUCUUGUCAUGUUUUGCCGAAAAAUGACGAGUCACGUGAAUAAAGAUAAGUUGCUAAUACACUGUUUCCAAGACAGCUUGGUCGGAUCGGCUCUUCGAUGGUAUAAUCAACUUAGUAGAGAAAGGAUUCGAUCAUGGAAAGACUUAGCAUCAGCAUUUUGUGAACAGUACAAGCAUGUGUCUGACAUGGUGCCUGAUCGAAUGACUCUACAAAGGAUGGAAAAGAAACCAGCAGAAACCUUUAGGCAAUAUGCUCAAAGGUGGAGAGAUAUCUCGGCUCAAGUGGAACCACCAUUGACUAAGACUGAGAUAACAGUCCUUUUCAUCAAUACUCUGAGAGCACCAUUCUAUGACAAGUUGGUAGGAAGUGCUACGAAAGACUUUGCGAACAUUGUGAUAUCCGGGGAACUUAUAGAGAAUGCCAUCUAAAAUGGAAGGAUGGAAUGCCCUGAUAGCUCAAAAGGGCAGCACCCAUGAAGAAAAAAGAGCCAGAAACCCAUGUGGUGGGAAUAGGAAGCCACUAUGCUUCUAAUUCGUACCCAACUCAACCAUGACCUCGAUAUCACCCACCUCCGAAUUUCACAUACUUGGGAGUGUUUUGAACAAUAGGACAGUGGAAGAGAUCCGUGUACUUUUAAAGCUAAUCUAGAGUAAUAUUCAAAACAUACUUAUUGCCUUAAGACCUAGAGGUGAUAAGAUUUCUUUUGAGAAAUAGGUUUUGGUCCAAGAUUUUUAUUUCAAUGAAAUGCAUCUUUCUGAGUAAAUUUUCUUCUAUUUAUAGAUUCUUUUAUUAUUUGGACUUUCAUUCUUUUAUUUUACAUUCAUGAUCAUCCUAUACAAAUAAUCAUCCUUAAAAUCAUUUAUUCUCUAGAAUUUUCCUUCAUACCCACAGUAGGUCCCCAGAUAUCAAUGUCACGAGCGACGCUGUUACUAACUCCCUUUGGAGCAAGAUGUGUGUCUAGAGGAAUCUCAAGACUUCGAAGAUGACAGAGACUGUGUCCAUCUUCUGAUUCGUGAAGGAUAACAGAAUGAGAUGAAAAAUAGACCCUAACUUACAAAGGGCCAGCUGACAUUGUGAGCUUGGGAAAGUGAUGAAGAUCGAAACCUAGCUCACCACAAAAAUAAGGCAAGACUAUUAAGUUAUUUCUAAGAAUUUAAGGAUGUUUUUGCACGAUCAUAUUAAGAUGCACUUAGGAACAUCUGGAAAGAGGUCCAUAAGGGUGUCUAGAGAACACAUGACAAUGGUUCUGCAAUAGCCAAGCUAAUCAAUGAGGAUCGGAUGUUGUUGGUCCACCAUGGGAAGGGAAUAGCAUCAGUUAUGACGUCAAGACUCACGUGCUUCUUUCAUCUCUUCACAAACUUUUCAAUACGUGGGGCAUAGAUGUUCUGGGGAUGAUCUCGUCAAAAGCUUCCAGUCGACAUCAUCGUCGUGGCCGUCAAUUGCUUCACUAAGAAGAUGAAUGUAGCUUCAUAUGCCAAUAUUAUAAAUUCGACAGUCAUGAAAAGAAAAAAAACAAAAAAAAUAAAAAGAAAAAAAAGGACAAAACAAAAAAAGAAAUCAAAUGCCAGAAAGAAUCAUGUUUUAAUGUGUAACUGUACAAUGUCAUAUCACAAUGCAACAAAGGCUACCAAAAGAAAGAUACAAAAAUCAAGAAAAGUUAUAGAAGGUGACCGAGACUUGUAAAUAUUGACAUAAGAAGCUACCUUUUACUCUUUGUGCUUAUUAAAGUUGACCAGGAUCUUUACUGGGGCAUUAGAGGUGGUUCUGUCCAUGGAAAUUAAGAUUCUUUUUCUCCAAGCUUUGAUUGAAUCAAGAAUUGGAUGAAGUAAAAUGUCUUCAUUAAACUUGACUGCAAAAAAGGGUUUGAAGGUCAAACGCGUAUGAUGCUGAGUUAUGACGGAAAUGGUUCACCCAAAGGAAUUUCAUAGUAGGAACUUGGUAUUGCAGAAGAUCCUUUCUAUAUGAAAGGAUUUCAAAGGGAAAUGGAUGCUUAAGAACUUUAUGAGGUAAAGGAGGCUUUCCCCGAAAGAACACUGAUCCAAUCCUAAAUUCGGAUUCAGUCCAGAAAUACUUGAAAAGAAGUGGCCAAGGUGAAAACCCGCAAAGGGCGCCUUGUGACCUUCAUUCAUUCAAAAGUAAAAAAAAAAAGAAAAAAGAAAAGAAAAUGGAGAGGUCAAGGUGAAAACCCGCAAAGGGCACCUUGAGACCAAAAGGGUUUUGAGUUGAAAACCUGAAAAAGGCAACUCAAAUCUUGUUCUAAGUUGGGGCAUAUGGUAGUCUUGCUAUACUUGAAUUGACAGUGCAGAAGUAUGCUACGUCUUGGGGCAUUGACAAAGUACUCUGAAUCCCCUAAACACAUGUUGAACUUAAAAUUGUCUCAAAAGGAGUUUGUACAGAGAAGCUCAGGCGGCGAUAUUUGGGGCACUUAGCUUUCCAUUUUACCCAUUUCUGAAUUUAUCUUUGAUUAUCUUAUUCUUUUCAAAAUAAGCUUCCAAUAAACUUGCAUUUACUCUCAUUGUUCAACUUGUUUGUUUCGAGCUAUGCUCUUAACCGAUUUUCUUCUUGUCCAUCAGUUCGAUCCUUUUCAAGCAUUUCGCAUUGAAAUAAUGAUUAAUGGACUAAUCAUACUUUUAUAAAAGGAAUUUUGCAUAUUACUCUGAAAGCUUCUAAAUAGUACUGGAACCUAAAACCAGUCGGUUGUUCAAGAGCUUACCAAGUGUAAGGGUUGGAAAUAUUUGAGCUCAAAUUGAGUUUAUCUCCUCAGAUUUUCUGUCAAAAAUAUCAGUCGAUGGAACAAAUUACAGAUCAUACACCCUUGAGUUACAGUAGGAUACAGAUCCUAUAGCCAGGAAUUGCAGUGGAAUGGUUUAAGGAUAGUGCCAACCUUGUAUCCCAAAAUUACAGUGGAAUAGACCCUGAAAUUACAGUGGGGCUGAGCAAAACAUGAUUAUUUCUUCGGAUUUUGGGUCAAAAUACCAACCGAGCAUUAGGGCAGCGUACUACGUCAGUAAUAGAGCCCUGAUGGGCAAUGAGUGAUGACGCCUUAAAAAAAGAAGAAGAAGAUCGAGAUGAAAACCUGAAAAGGGCGUCUUGAUAAACAAAAAUUAGGAUGAAAACCCGAAAGGGCGUCCUAAUGAAGCAGGUUUGGGCCCAAGGAGUAAAAAGAUUCAAGAAGUGAGUCAAGCAGCAAGACUACAGUAUUUGAAGGAUUUUUAGCAGCUCGGAAAUUUAUACGCAAGAAGACAUACUCAAAAAGAUUCUUAAUUAAGAAAUGUGGAAGAGUUCAUGCGUUGAAGAUCUAGAGUAUUUUGAAAUAACAUGCUCCAAACAAAAGAAAUGUUGAGCAUUACCCGGAUGAGAAUUUGAUAAGUACAAAAGCCUCAACGCAAGGACAAAGUUCAACCAGGGGCAAGAGAGCGAUAACUGAGAAACGCAGAUUACUCGUGAAGCUAGAGGACGGGUACAGGGCCUGAAGAGAAAGUCAAGAGUCAAAGCAAUGAACACAGAUCAUCAAAAAUCAUGAUGGAAAGGGACAUACGACAAACAUGCCUAAGGCGCAUAGCAUAAUCAUGUAGGCAUAAAGGCAUUUAAGACAAACAUGUGCAUAUCAUGAUAACAUCAUGCAUUACAUACACAGGUACUCCAGUAGAAUAAGAAGAUGUGAUGAUAGUUGUAUUGAAUUAAAGGAAAAGACACCUGAGUUCCACCAGAUAACAUGUUUUGGUAUUCUGAUGCUUUUAUUUCUGUUUCAAAAAUUCAACUCAUAUUGCGAGUUGAGCCUCAAGACACGUUGAGGUAUUUUCAAUUUCUGCUUUUCAAAAUUCAACUCAUAUUGCGAGAAAUGAGUUGAGCCUCAAGACACGUUGAGGUAAUUUCAAUUUCUGUUUUCAAAAUUCAACUCAUAUUGCGAGAAAUGAGUUGAGCCUCAAGACACGUUGAGGUAAUUUCAAUUUCUGUUUUCAAAAUUCAACUCAUAUUGCGAGAAAUGAGUUGAGCCUCAAGACACGUUGAGGUAAUUUCAAUUUUUGUUUUCAAAAUUCAACUCAUAUUGCGAGAAAUGAGUUGAGCCUCAAGACACAUUGAGGUAUUUUCAAUUUCUGCUUUUCAAAAUUCAACUCAUAUUGCGAGAAAUGAGUUGAGCCUCAAGACACGUUGAGGUAAUUUCAAUUUCUGUUUUCAAAAUUCAACUCAUAUUGCAAGAAAUGAGUUGAGCCUCAAGACGCAUUGAGGCAUUUUCAAUUUUUGCUUUUCAAAAUUCAACUCAUAUUGCGAGAAAUGAGUUGAGCCUCAAGACACGUUGAGGUAUUUUCAAUUUCUGCUUUUCAAAAUUCAACUCAUAUUGCGAGAAAUGAGUUGAGCCUCAAGACACGUUGAGGUAAUUUCAAUUUCUGUUUUCAAAAUUCAACUCAUAUUGCGAGAAAUGAGUUGAGCCUCAAGACACGUUGAGGUAAUUUCAAUUUCUGUUUUCAAAAUUCAACUCAUAUUGCGAGAAAUGAGUUGAGCCUCAAGACACAUUGAGGUAUUUUCAAUUUCUGCUUUUCAAAAUUCAACUCAUAUUGCGAGAAAUGAGUUGAGCCUCAAGACACGUUGAGGUAAUUUCAAUUUCUGUUUUCAAAAUUCAACUCAUAUUGCAAGAAAUGAGUUGAGCCUCAAGACACAUUGAGGCAUUUUCAAUUUUUGCUUUUCAAAAUUCAACUCAUAUUGCGAGAAAUGAGUUGAGCCUCAAGACACAUUGAGGUAUUUUCAAUUUCUGCUUUUCAAAAUUCAACUCAUAUUGCGAGAAAUGAGUUGAGCCUCAAGACACGUUGAGGUAAUUUCAAUUUCUGUUUUCAAAAUUCAACUCAUAUUGCGAGAAAUGAGUUGAGCCUCAAGACACGUUGAGGUAAUUUCAAUUUCUGUUUUCAAAAUUCAACUCAUAUUGCGAGAAAUGAGUUGAGCCUCAAGACACAUUGAGGUAUUUUCAAAAUCUACUUUUCAAAUUAAGUUUCAAAAAAAUCAAUUCAUAUUGCGAGAGGUAAGUUGAGUCUCAGGUCACAUGCUGAGGUAUUUUCAAUUUUUGUUUUCAAUUUAUGUUUUUCAAAAAAUCAACUCAUAUUGCGAGAGGUGAGUUGAGCCUUUUAAUUCCUGUUUUUCAAAAAUCAACUCAUAUUGCGAGAGGUGAGUUGAACCUUUUAAUUCAACUCAUAUUGCGAGAGGUGAGUUGAGCCUUUUAAUUUCUGUUUUUCAAAAAUCAACUCAUAUUGCGAGAGGUGAGUUGAGCCUCGGGUCACAUGUCGAGGUAUUUUCAAAAUCUGCUUUUCAAAUUAAGUUUCAAAAAGAUCAACUCACAUUGCGAGAAGUGAGUUGAGCUUUAGCUCAUGUGCUGAACUAUUUUUAGUUUCUGUUUUAAUGUCUGUUUUUAAAGAAUUAAUUCAUAUUGCGAGAAAUGAGUUGAGCUCAAGAUCACAUGCCGAGUAGAGAAUAAAGAUUGAAACUGGUUGAAGACGCCAGAUUUUGUCUUUCUGAAGUUGCAGUGGAGCUGAUCGAGGAUAUAAGAUCUUGCCUUUCUGAAGUUACAGAAGAAAAGACCACAAACCUCACUUCCCUGAAGUUGUAGCGGAACAUAUUGAAGAUAUUAGAUCUCAUCUCUUUGAUGUUACAGAAGAGCAGAACACGACGGAUCUUAUAGCCCUAAAGAUGCGAGUAGAUUGAAAAUACAAGUUUCUAUCUCUUUGAAGUCACAGUGGAAUGAACUAAAGCUACAAGAUGCGAGGGACUGGAAAGAGACUACCUGAAGAAGAGAAGCGCUAAAGAGGUCAAAGCUCGACGAGGCUGGGCAAAAUUGGUCUUUCCUAAAAGUCUUUACUCUAUUCUCGUUACACGACAACAACUCUGUUCUCGUUACACGACAAUGAGUAAAGAGGGGCAGCUGUUAUAGCCCAAAUUUUGCCCCAUUUACAAUUUUGACCCACCUACCCAAUACACAAGACCCAUUAAACCCAAACCAAUAAACCAAAUCCCAUAGCCCAAAUACCACCAGCCCAAUACUCAACUAGCCCAACAUAAAAAAAAACGAAGAAAAACAGACAACAAGAAACCUUGGCUACCACACCCCACUUUCCUCUGACACUAGCACCAUCUUUGGUCACCACCAUGUCGGCUACCACGCCCCAUGCUUCUGCCAACACCAUCCCCGCAUGCCUGGCACCUCCAUACCUUGCAAGCAGCAAUGAAGAGAUAGAAACUAAUAGAAAAUGAAAGUGUAAAGGCUAUAAAAGCCAUGAAAACAAGUGUAAAAAAGGGGGGG
rnacentral:lncRNA from 1 species